UACAGAGGUCUCAAGCGUUGUUCGGAUUCAUUGGGCGUAAAGGGUGCGUAGGCGGCGCGGUAAGUCGGGUGUGAAAUCUCGGAGCUUAACUUCGAAACUGCAUUCGAUACUGCCGUGCUUUGAGGACUGGAGAGGAGACUGGAAUUUACGGUGUAGCGGUGAAAUGCGUAGAUAUCGUAAGGAAGACCAGUGGCGAAGGCGGGUCUCUGGACAGUUCCUGACGCUGAGGCACGAAGGCCAGGGGAGCAAACGGGAUUAGAAACCCC
rnacentral:rRNA from 1 species